UACGUAGGGGGCAAGCGUUGUCCGGAUUUAUUGGGCGUAAAGAGCGUGUAGGCGGCCUUACAGGUCCGUUGUGAAAACUCGAGGCUCAACCUCGAGACGCCGGUGGAAACCGUAAAGCUAGAGUCCGGAAGAGGAGAGUGGAAUUCCUGGUGUAGCGGUGAAAUGCGCAGAUAUCAGGAGGAACACCCGUGGCGAAAGCGGCUCUCUGGGACGGUACUGACGCUGAGACGCGAAAGCGUGGGGAGCAAACAGG
rnacentral:rRNA from 1 species